CAGAGGAGGGUUCACACGUUUGUGCUGUUUGCAGGGACCUCACACAGGUUUCAGCCCAUUGUUUAAAUGUUACUGAGAGUUUGAAACUAAAUCUGAGGUUUGAGGAGAAAAAAAUUGGCCCGGCUGCAUACGGAGCUGAUUAGAUGUUUCAAGUUUUGACAUGAUUUUUAUUGCCAUUUUUUUCUGAACCAUACAGCGCAGACUUGGCCGCAGAAAAAAAAUAGUACCACGCAUGUGGACAUAAAAACUGGCCUUUUGAAAUGCCGAAAUGUUGAGAAAGGGGUCCAAGAAUAAACACCAAAGCGAAUCCAAGGCACUCUUCCAGAUGGUCAAAAAGCACAUAACAGAACAGAUAGAGACAAGCCACAGAGUGUUUGGUCACAGAGAGUGUCUUUAGGGCUGACGGUCUAAUGACAGUCAGGUAAUUGCCUGGUGAAGCCCUCUCUGUUGAUUAAUCAACACUAGAGAUCAGUGCAAAUAGUUGUAUAAGAAGUACUUGGAUCAUGUACUUUAAACUUCUUAGAGAGAAGAUAAACAGAGAACACUCAGCCCAAAACAGCAGCUGGAUCCAUUAAGCCAGGCUAUAGUUACAAGUCUGACUAACACAUACCUUUUUUGUCUGAUGGAGAAUACAGAGCCUUUCUAGUUUUUAGUCUAAGUUGCAGGAAAAGCUGAGAUAGAAAAAAUAGAUGAUGAAUAAAGAUUAUUGAGAUUAAAAGUCAAAUGUCUAACAGAGAGUUGGUGUGAUGUUGAUGCAGUCCAAAUAUCAAGAGUUAAACUUAAGUUUACUAAUGGACCGAUCUCAGGAGAAAUAAAUCAUGCUAGGUGAUCUUGUCUGUAGGCAAAAAUUUUGAGAAUCUUGUUGAAAUCAAAAAUAGAGUUCAGUCAGGAACUCUUUCAUCAUUCAGAAUCAAUAACUUACAUGCAGAAAGUUGUAUUGGUUGGAAUAGCUCUGGUCUGGCUGGGAGAAUAGCAGCAAAGCCCUCCAGGUUGGGGCUCCCUGCCUUUCCACAUGGCAUGCAAAAACCUGAAGCACGGAGAGAACAACCCCAAACCUAACCCUAACCCCUCCUUUUUAUGCAUACACUGUAAAUAUAAAUGCCAAGGCUGGGAGAGCAGCAGCAAAGACUCCUGUGGUAAAGUUCUCUGCCUUUUUAUGUGCAUUUAUGAUAUGCAAAAACCAGAGGUUUGGAAAACACACCUCCUUUUUGUUCUUAGUGUAUAGUAUUAGAAGCUAGGGCAGGGAGAGCAGCAGCAAAGACUCCCAGGGUAGAGUUCCCUGUCCUUCUGUGUGUAUAUAAGAUAUGCCAAAACCUUAGGCUAUGAUAGCAGUCUCCCCAGUGUUUCAUGUGCGUUAACAAAGAGCCAUGGCAGGGAGAGCAGCAGCACAGACUCCCAGUGUAGAGCUCCCUGCUCUUCUAUAUGCAUACAUGAAAUGCCAAAGCCUGAGCCAGAGAGCACACCUUCCUUUUUGCUUAUGUGCAUAUUUAAGAAGCCAAGGCAGGGAGAGCAGCAGCAAAGGUCCCAAGUUUACAUAGUGUAUCCAUCAUAUUAGUGCUAUCAAACAAUGAGAAUACAGAGUGUCCCACACAUGUUUGAGUUUUAAGGGUGAACUAAUCAAACUGUGAGAAAAACAAGUGAUAAUAAUAAAGUUGAUGCUUUAGGAUUGAACUAUGAGAGGAUAAGUUUGUUGAAGAGCCAUGGGUUGGGGUGUGGUCCUGCCCCUGAAACAAAGUUCAGACAUCUUGAAACUUGAGGGUGAAGUCAAAAUGUUGGCAUUAAAGUUGAAAUGAAGAAAAUAAAGUCAUACUCUCAAUGUCAGCACCACUUUAAGAAUUAAUUCUGUGUGAAAGAAGGGAAAAAAGAAAAUCACCCUCAAAUAUUUUGAUUCCUACAUCUGAGGCUGAUUCUCCUCUGUAGUGCUGCACAAGUGUGAAAAGUGCUUUGAUGAAGCGCCGUUAGAUCACAGCUUUUGAGGACGUUUUCAACAAAAACAACAAAAACACUUGUAGGGAUUUUGACAUCACCUCAUCCGUGGUGGUCAGAGGGCGACUCUGCUCAGCUCUAAACAGCUGAAGCCAACAGUGUAAACAGUGGACGUCCGUAGUGUGCCAUCCUUUGAAGUGACUCAAUUUCUCAAGUCUUGGCACAGAACAGAAACCAUUAAAAAUGUGUUGUGUCAGUAAACAUUAUGGAGAGCUUGACGUCCACUGGACACCCACCCUGAACACACACACACACACACACACACACAUGCACACACACUUCAAAUCAACACAUAUACCCAAUUUCAAUCUCACACUCACAAAGACAGAGAAGUUUCAUUGGCUCGCUGCUCUCACUGGUUUAUAAAAUGAGCCCGUUUGGCGCAAGUACAGAGCUCACCAGCUUAUUUUAUGAGUCACAGUAAAAAAACAAACCAGCUAUGGUGAUGAAAAUCGAUUGAGCAAUCCUCGACCAAUGUAGGUAAGCAUUUCAGCUCACACUACAUUUAUGGAAGAGAGAUUUCUGACUGCAAACUUUGUCUCACAAGUGUUUGAAAAACUCACAAAUCUAUACAUCCUGAUUUGUGCAGUUUGACGUGGCGGUAAAGUUGAAGGUAAAUAAUAUAAAAGUAAAAGCCUUUUAGAGGUCGAGCUUUGUUGCAGUUACAUUGCCCGUUGCAUGACUUGGUAGAUAAUCCCAUUUUGUUUCUCAAUUGUUUGAUUUUACAUUUAAUGCUGUUGGGAUUGUUGUUCAUAUUAUGUUACCUAAGCUAACCAAACCUAACCUAACUUAACCUCAACUCAACAUGACCUCAACUCAACCUAACUUAACUAAACUCAACUUAAGUUAAGUUAACUCAUCUCAACCUAACUUCACUUAACUAAACUUAUGUAAACUCAACUCAACCUAACUUAACUUUACUUAACUCAACCUAACCUAACCUAACCUAACCUAACCUAACCUAACCCAACCUAAUCUAACCUAACCUCAACUCAACAUGACCUCAACUCAACUCAACUCAACCUAACUUAAUUCAACUCAACCUAACUUCACUUAACUAAACUUAUGUAAACUCAACUCAACCUAACUUAACUUAACUUUACUUAACUCAACUCAACCUAACUUAACUAAACUUAAGUUAACUCAACUCAACUCAACCUAACUUAACUUACCUAAACUUAAGUUAACAUAACUCAACUCAACCUAACUUAACUUUACUUAACUCAACUCAACCUAACUUAACUAAACUUAAGUUAACUCAACUCAACUCAACCUAACCUAACUUAACUUAACUAAACUUAAGUUAACAUAACUCAACUCAACCUAACUUCACUUAACUAAACUCAACUCAACUCAACUCAACUCAACUCAAUAAUGUGAUUCUGAAAGGAAGAUCCUUGAAGUAAACUGGCACACCUUCAGCGACCAGUAUCAACUCCCAAACUUUUAAAUCAAUGACUUGAAUCAAUGACUCUGGUUCGCAUCAGAUAAUGUAGGUUGGUUCAAAAGCUGCCCAGUCAGUCAGAUCAAGCAAUUCAGGCCAUUGAUGUCAGUACAGGUAUUUAAAAGUGGUCACAGGUCAUAUUUGGCACUAGGUAGGCUGUAAUGGCUGCCUGCCACACAGACACAAUGUGUGUAAAUUAAGCAUCAAUAAUGUAAACCAACCCUUGAAACUGUAUUGAGACCUAAAAGCAUCCCUUAAUAUGGAAAAAAUGUAUAUGAAAUAGACUCAUAAUUUAUGUAUCGACACAAUCCACCAUCUCUUCUCCGCUUCCUUUCUUUAUGUUUAUAUUUACAUCUAUAAAUGGUAUUUAAUAUGUAAACGAAGGACCCUCUUUUUUUAAAAUUCAUCCUCAGGCCUUGUCCCUCAAAGUUAUCGCAAUAGCAGUGACUUUUUAAGGAGUAGAUCCUUAACUCUUGUACUAAAUUAAGACCCUUGUUUCUGAUACUUCCAAAAGAAAUCUGGAACAUUCCCGCUGCUGUAAAGGACCUUCAAACAUACAGAAAUUCUUCCUAAAUGCAGCACUCAACAUGAGUCAGCUCAUGUCCAUGUAUGCAGAUUCGACUCUGCCUGUGAGGUCUGAGUCGUGUAUUUCCAGUUCGAGUCUUCAGAUGUUCCAUGACGGUGAGCUGUGGAACAUGUGUGCUUUCUGUUUUUUAUGUCUUCUUUGGUUUUAUGAUGCUGCAUCUCCAUCAGACAUGAUUUCAGAGUCCUCUAACUCUGGCCCGGCGGAGAGGUGGAGCUAAUGAUUCAGGAAAACAAAGUCAUGUGUUGGAAAAUAUAUCAGGGUUUUUUCCCCCAAAUAACCAGCACCAGAGGCAUCGGUAUAGGAAUGAAUGCCAUUAGCUAACUAUGGGUGCUUAGCUUUAUGAGCCUCUGUGGUUUGGAGGAAAUGGAGCUCUGAGAAGUCAUAUUUACCGAGCAGCUGGAGGGCUUUGUUAUGUGCAGUCAGGUUGCUGAGUGUUUCGCACGCUUCCACACAUUAAAUAUCCCUACGCUCACACCAUCAAUGUAUAAUAAUGCGCCCAAACACAUCAAAAAAACACACAUACAAGGAGAAAGCCAACCUAGCGGGCGCACACUCCUCUGCUGAGUCAGCACGGCCCACUAUUUUCACAGGCUGGGCCCUCGCCCUUUGUCUGCACCCCAAUAUAGCUCACGUCUCCGGCUUUUGAUGUCUGACGUUUUUACCACUUGGCGAGCGCUAACAUUCGUGUUAUUAAAACAAUAACAGAGGAGAAGAUUUACAGGCUACGCUGCAGACACAUGGGCGUGAGAUAGCAGGAGGGUUAUUACUGUAACCAGGCCCUGUCAUCUCCUGUAUGAGCUGUCGGCAGAGAGUGAGUGCCAAACUGUCUACAGCUGUGCAAAAAUGCCUCAGCCGUCAGCCAUUCAGGAGUAUUCAAUUAACGCUCUUAACCAUUAAAAGUUAAUAAAUCAUCAUUAUUCAUGUAAUUGCAGUUAGGAUAGGUAUAUACUAUGUCUACUUAGAGGAUUUGAAUCCAUGCUGAGUCUAAAUGUCCUCCUUUCAGUCUUGCAAACCGAGCCAUCAUGGUAAUACUGUAAGUUUAGACUCCAUCGUCUAUUUCCUGAUGAGGAUUCUGCCUCCAGGAGUGACAGCCAGUAUUUCAGGGCUUCUGAUGCAGUUAGAGUAAAGAGCCAGAUAUCAAGUGUAGAUAUUGUGUGCGAUGAUCAGUUUUUGUGAAUUUCAAUACGAGCUGACUCGACACCAGACAAAAGCCGAUGGUGUUACAGAACUGCGUGUUGGCCAAUGGAUCAUGCCUCCUGUGCUUUCCACAAAGACAGAUUUCGAGAGUUUGGAAGUAAUUUGAGCUUGAUAUGAACUAAAGAGUUUAAAGACGACAUACUGUGGUGAGCAUCGACUUGGGUUUCAGUCAUGUUAUUAUUUGACUUAGUUUUGCUGUGUCUGCUGCUGCUCAUCACCUGUCACCUGUUUCAGAGGCUGAUUGAGCACACCUG